UACGAAGGUCCCGAGCGUUGUUCGGAAUCACUGGGCGUAAAGGGCGCGUAGGCGGUGUGGUAAGUCAGAUGUGAAAUCCCGGGGCUCAACCCCGGAACUGCAUCCGAUACUGCCGUGCUUGAGGGUUGGAGAGGUAGCUGGAAUUAUCGGUGUAGCAGUGAAAUGCGUGGAUAUCGAUAGGAACACUCGUGGCGAAGGCGAGCUACUGGACAACAUCUGACGCUGAGGCGCGAAGGCUAGGGGAGCAAAAGGG
rnacentral:rRNA from 1 species